rnacentral:rRNA from 1 species
UACGUAGGGUGCAAGCGUUAAUCGGAAUUACUGGGCGUAAAGCGUGCGCAGGCGGUUAUGCAAGACAGAGGUGAAAUCCCCGGGCUCAACCUGGGAAUUGCGAUGGAGACUGCAAGGCUAGAAUCUGGCAGAGGGGGGUAGAAUUCCACGUGUAGCAGUGAAAUGCGUAGAGAUGUGGAGGAACACCGAUGGCGAAGGCAGCCCCCUGGGUCAAGAUUGACGCUCAUGCACGAAAGCGUGGGGAGCAAACAGG